UGUGGCUCAAUGGUUGGGCAGCUGCCUAGCAUGCAGAUGGUCACAGGUUCAAUCCCCAGCAAAG